GUUUCUGAAGUGUAAUCAUAUAAUAUUUUCAUUAUUAAGAGGCAGUCUUGCCAGAAAUA
rnacentral:tRNA from 1 species